rnacentral:lncRNA from 1 species
CUCAGUCCCCCACCUGCCUUGUGGCCCAAAGCCUCACCCGCCCUCCACUGCCCACCAAGUCUCCCGUAGGCUCUCGGGGGGCCCUGACUGGAGAGCAGGGAGAGAGCCGGCUGCCCGGCCCACGGGGGGACUGACCUGGUGCAGGGUGGCCUCCGCGCUCGGGGCCCUCAUGCUGACCAGCGUGACCUGCACCACAGCCAGUGACUGCUGCGGGGAGGCUGCGGGGGAAGGGGGUGUGAGCAGGGCCUGGGGACACCCCCGUGCUCCCGGCAGAGGGGGGCCCACCCCUGGGACCCACCUCGGAGAUCAGACUGGGCACGUCUGUGGCUCACACGCCCCCCCUCCUCCCAGGCCUGGGGUCACAGAGCAGCGGUCUGUGACCUCGGACCCUUGCCUGCAGGUCACCUACGACCCCAAAGACUAUCACACGUGUUCCCCAUGCGAGGGGUCAGAGCCCCUUUAAGAAAUGAUGGUUUCUGUGGGNNNNNNNNNNNNNNNNNNNNNNNNNNNNNGGAGACCCCCCACCCCUACCUCCUCCUGCCAGUUCCCACUGCCCAUCCUUCCACACUGGCUGCUGAGGUUGUCCAAGCUCUGACAUCCAGGAAGACGCCACGUUACUAUUAUUGACAUUACUGUUCACGCUGGAUCACCAACCACACACUCGGACAACGCCUCGGGGAUGGAGGCCAGUCUGUCCUUUACCAGAGGACCAGACACUCAGAAGGUGAAGUGGACAGGGUGGCUUGACCCAAACCCGCUGUGUGACCCUGGUUGGCCCUAGGUGCCCUGGGUAGCACUGGGUGAUCCUGAAUGAUGCUGGGUGACCCUAGAUGACCUGAGUGACUCUGGGUGGCGCCAGGUGCCCCUGCCUAACCUUGGGUGACUCUAGGUGGACCUGGGUGGCCGGGCCCUUGCACCCAUCACGUCCACUCUCCAAGGUGCUACAGGCGCCCAGGGACUGGCAGAGCCUGUGUAACCUUCCUGGGGUGACCCCUUCAGGGCCCCCACUCCCAGACCUGCUGCGGAAGCAUCUGAGGACCAGGACCACGCUAAGCUGGGUGGUAGUACAAUGGCGGAGUUCCAUCGGCGGCCUCCCCUCACGUGGCUUCUGCUAACCCUGGGGGCAGCGAGAGAGAGCUGGCCGAGUGCCUUCCCGCGGUGGGGCCUGUAACGAGGGGUGCUGGCCGGGCUGGGGUCCCUAGGAGGGACCAGCUGCAGGAGGGCAGGGGCC